AUACGGAGGGUGCAAGCGUUAAUCGGAACUACUGGGCGUAAAGCGUACGUAGGCGGUUCGUUAAGUUAGAUGUGAAAGCCCCGGGCUUAACCUGGGAACUGCAUUUAAAACUGGCGAACUAGAGUUGAGUAGAGGGGAGUGGAAUUUCAGGUGUAGCGGUGAAAGGCGUAGAGAUCUGAAGGAACACCAGUGGCGAAGGCGACUCCCUGGACUCGAACUGACGCUGAGGUACGAAAGCGUGGGUAGCAAACGGGAUUAGAAACCCUAGUAGUCC
rnacentral:rRNA from 1 species